rnacentral:rRNA from 1 species
UACGUAGGGUGCGAGCGUUGUCCGGAAUUAUUGGGCGUAAAGAGCUCGCAGGCGGUCUGUCGCGUCGGGAGUGAAAACUCAGGGCUUAACCCUGAGCCUGCUUCCGAUACGGGCAGACUAGAGGUAUGCAGGGGAGAACGGAAUUCCUGGUGUAGCGGUGGAAUGCGCAGAUAUCAGGAGGAACACCGGUGGCGAAGGCGGUUCUCUGGGCAUUACCUGACGCUGAGGAGCGAAAGUGUGGGGAGCGAACAGG